CGAAGGGGCUAGCGUUGCUCGGAAUCACUGGGCGUAAAGGGCGCGUAGGCGGCCGUUUAAGUCGGGGUGAAAGCCUGUGGCUCAACCACAGAAUUGCCUUCGAUACUGGACGGCUUGAGUAUGGUAGAGGUUGGUGGAACUGCGAGUGUAGAGGUGAAAUUCGUAGAUAUUCGCAAGAACACCGGUGGCGAAGGCGGCCAACUGGACCAUUACUGACGCUGAGGCGCGAAAAGCGUGGGGAGCAAACAGGAUU
rnacentral:rRNA from 1 species